AUCCAGAUGAAGAGUCACAAAUGGGACGAAACACGCGUCCUGGAU
rnacentral:hammerhead_ribozyme from 1 species